rnacentral:rRNA from 1 species
GAUGAACGCUGGCGGCGUGCCUAAUACAUGCAAGUCGAGCGAACAGACGAGGAGCUUGCUCCUCUGACGUUAGCGGCGGACGGGUGAGUAACACGUGGAUAACCUACCUAUAAGACUGGGAUAACUUCGGGAAACCGGAGCUAAUACCGGAUAAUAUAUUGAACCGCAUGGUUCAAUAGUGAAAGACGGUUUUGCUGUCACUUAUAGAUGGAUCCGCGCCGCAUUAGCUAGUUGGUAAGGUAACGGCUUAUCAAGGCAACGAUGCGUAGCCGACCUGAGAGGGUGAUCGGCCACACUGGAGCUGAGACACGGUCCAGACUCCUACGGGAGGCAGCAGUAGGGAAUCUGCCGCAAUGGGCGAAAGCCUGACGGAGCAACGCCGCGUGAGUGAUGAAGGUCUUCGGAUCGUAAAACUCUGUUAUUAGGGAAGAACAAAUGUGUAAGUAACUAUGCACGUCUUGACGGUACCUAAUCAGAAAGCCACGGCUAACUACGUG